rnacentral:misc_RNA from 1 species
GGAGUAAAAGUCGUAACAAGGUUUCCGUAGGUGAACCUGCGGAAGGAUCAUUACUGAGUGAGGGCCUUCGGGUCCAACCUCCCACCCGUAUCUAUCGUACCAUGUUGCUUCGGCAGGCCCGCCUCACGGCCGCCGGGGGCUUCUCGCCCCGGGCCCGCGCCUGCCGAAGACCCUCUGAACGCUGUCUGAAGAUUGCAGUCUGAGUGAAACACAAAAAUUAUUUAAAACUUUCAACAACGGAUCUCUUGGUUCCG